GGACAAAGCUUUGAAAAUCAAUACAUCAGACAUAUUUCUUUAAGACCAAAUAAAACAGGUUCCAGAUGAGGCCUGCUGUGCAGUGCCAGCUCGAAAGUUGAAAGAAAAUUGAAGUAAACACAGAAAUCUUAUAUAAACUGAAAAUCAGUAAGGAAAAUCAAAGGU